rnacentral:rRNA from 1 species
GACCUCAAAUCAGGUAGGACUACCCGCUGAACUUAAGCAUAUCAAUAAGCGGAGGAAAAGAAACUAACAAGGAUUCCCCUAGUAACUGCGAGUGAAGCGGGAAAAGCUCAAAUUUAAAAUCUGGCGGUCUUUGGCCGUCCGA